UAUCAACUGACACGCCCAAAUCCUUCUCCUCGGGGCUGCUCUCAAGCCUUUCUCUGCCCAACCUGUAUUUGUACUUGGGCAUACUUCAAGCUGUGGAAAGAGUUACCUCUUCCUUCAUCAAAAGACUUUGCAGAGAUUUUUGUGCCAUAUCUUUCCCUGCUGACUGCACAGCAGAGCAAAAAGGACAUAGCUAGAGGAAAAGAUACCUGGCAAGAUGUCCGUGCAAUGAAAUGACCCUUGGGGGUAUCACCUUUCCUGUGUAGCCACAAAUACACAUUAUAGGAGACCUUCUGCUUCUUCCAAGUAGAUGGAGAAAAUCUUUUACUUAUGUACACAUUGCAGACUCAGAAAUGAGGUGUUUUUCUUAAGACAACAAAAGCACAGGCAAACAACAACAACAAAACACCGCAACGUGCAAAAACUUAAAAUUAAUUUUAUCCUCGUACAAUAUGUGAAGUAAUUGAUAUGAAUGAUUGAAUUUGCCCAAAUGUGGAAUAAAGUCCUGUAACAGAAAUAUCAUUUCCUGGAAUGUAAGAAAUGCUUUUCAGCUCAUCGGGCCUCACGUACCUGACACAGCACAACUUAAAGGUAGACAAAUAAAUUGAUAUAUUGGAUUUCUGCACAGCGUUCAGUGCUGGUUCAGAGUGAUAAGCUGUGGCUAGGGUCAGCCCCAUAGCUAGUUGCUGAUUAAGACAGUGAGCAAGAGGAGUGCUGUUGUAUGAAUUCUUAAGACUGAACUCCGCUCCUUUAAUUUCCUAUGCUGGUGAACGCUAUAAUUAUCUGUCUUAAACAAACUGAUUCUGAACUAACGCAGUAUACCAAUGCACAUCCAAAAUAUGAUCUGUAGAAGUCUUAAGUUCAGGACUUAGGGAUGAGAGGUGGGAAGUACAUAGGGUGAAUGAAGACACAGUGGUAGAUUGGGGUGAACAAUAGGAAGGAAAAGGAAGGAGAUAUGAAUAAACUCUACAGGACAUACAGGAAAUUCCAAUCAUCUACAAGGAAGCAGAAUUGAAGCAUGUUACAUUUGCUGUUAAUUUUUAUAAUGAUACCACUUCUGUAAACAAGCUACUACAUAAUGUGGUUGUAUCUUCAGGUUCCUGUGAAGGAAAACAGCAUGAUUGGUUCUGCAAAGAAGCCCAAUUAAAUUUUACAAUAAUAUUUUAUAAAGAUAUUUUAUAAUUAUCAUUUUGCAAAAAUGAAGAUGACUGAUAUUUUAUGUUUAUUUAGUGACAAAAUAGGUCUCAGGAUAUUGUGAAAGUUACUUUUGGGUUUUUUUUUUUGGUUGUUUUUUUGUUUGUCUUUUUAUUUACAGGUUUCUAUUAAGUAUAGAUGAAUGAAAUAUGCACCUCCAUGAGCUACUGACAAAUAAUAGGGAAGCAUAAAGAGGAUGAGAACUUUGUUAGUUCCAAGAAAUUAAAAUAAAAUACUUUAAAAGUAGGGUGUAGUUUGCAAAAUCUCUGUACUGAUAUCUCAGUAUUACAAAAUUAGAUUACACCAAAAUAAAUUAAUGUAGCAAACUCC